rnacentral:siRNA from 1 species
AAGGUUUCAACAUGUAUUGGAUGA